rnacentral:rRNA from 1 species
UACGAAGGGGGCUAGCGUUGUUCGGAAUUACUGGGCGUAAAGCGUGCGCAGGCGGCUUUGUAAGCCAGAUGUGAAAUCCCCGGGCUUAACCUGGGAAUGGCAUUUGGGACUGCAAAGCUUGAGUGCGGCAGAGGGGACUGGAAUUCCUGGUGUAGCAGUGAAAUGCGUAGAGAUCAGGAGGAAUACCGAUGGCGAAGGCAGGUCCCUGGGCUGACACUGACGCUCAUGCACGAAAGCGUGGGGAGCAAACAGG